AAUUAGGACGGGCGGGUCAGUUAGGGUUGAAAAAAAAAAAGAAAGCUGGGUCAUCUUCUUCAAUCUGACUGAAUCAACGCCUCUAGUCCUCUGCCUUCUCCUCCGCCACAGACUUCCGCCAUCUCCUUCGCCGUCAAUACAUCAUCUUCAAUCUUCAACCUCUCCUUCAAGAAAUCCUUCUUCGCUCGUUAAUCUCUCGGUCUGCAUCAACGAUUUCUUCACAUCGAAUCGGAUACAGAUGGCUACAAUCUGAUCCACGAGUGAGUGAUCAUAUAAACAUGGAUUUACGAGAUGAAAGCUCAAGACUCGGAUCGAAUAUACAGAAUUUAUCAUCUUCAUUUCAUUUCUACCAACAAUCCUUACACUAUGAACAGAUUUGUGGCUCUUUUUGCUGCCCCUUUGCUUUCUUUUCAUUUCAUUUCUACUAACAAUCCUUACACUAUGAACACAAGGUUCAUUGCUGCUGACACUCUUCAGAAACUUAUGGUUCUUGUGGGUUUAGCUCUUUAUUAUAUUAAUUAUUGAACUUUAUCAGUAGUUAGGAUAAAUUUAUUACUGUGUUUGUUUUAUUAUAACUAUUAGUUUAUUAGUUGUGAUGAAAUUAUAAAAAAAAAUGUUUUUAAUAAUCAAUAAGCUUCUGGAGGGAAAAAAACUGACCUGACCCGACCCGAAACCUGUUCUGACCCGGACCCGACCCGAAACCCGUUCUGACCCGGACCCGUUUCGACCCGAACCAAAACAACCCUUUUUUAUAAUUGACCUGUUUUGACCCGAACCCAUUUUGACCCAUGACCCGACCCGACCCGUUUGCCAGGUCUAAUUGCAGUUAUUAAGUAUUAAUUAAAUUGUACGGAUUUACCGGUUUUGUGUCAGUUGUCACAUGGGUUUGGUAAUGGAUAAUUUUAAUACUUGGAAUAAAUUUUGAAAAUAAUUUAUAGUAUAGCCUAAUAAAAGUUAUAUAUGUAUUAUAUAUAAAAAUAAUAAAUAAAAAUGUAUAAUUUUUAUUCGAAUUUCGAAUCGAAUUUGAAACUAUAAAUUCGUAUUCGAUUUACUGGACUCGAAUUGAAUCGAAUUCGAAUUCUUAUAAUCGAAACGAAUUCUUGAUAAUCGAAUCGAAUUUAAACGAAUUUCGAUUUUUUCGCGAAACGAAUUCUGAACACCCCUAAUGUAAACUCCUUAUAGACAUAAGUACAUAUAAAAGAUGUCUAACAAACUUAAUAGAAUUUGAAUACAACUUAAGUUUCAACAAACAUUAACUACGAACAUACGACCACCUGCCUCAACAACUUUCAUCAAAGCUCAAUCAAGAGUUUGUUACGCAGCAACAUCUCCUUUGCUACAUAUUGUCUCCUGGUUACAUAUGCUACUGGAGACAAUGUAGGCUACUGAUCCAACAAUCUCCCUAUACAACAGAUGCUACCAAAACCCUUCUUUAUCACUGAUUUUUAUAUCUCAUCAAUAUCUCCCUGAUUUAUCCUUUGAAUUAUAGUUCAAAAGCUAGGGAGAACAUGUCUUCUUAUUUGAAUUGGUAACCCUCUAGAACAGCUAAUACAACCACAAACAAUUUUCAAAGAAUAUUAAUGGUAAAACCAUACAGAAUUUUCAUUUAAAAAUCUAUAAAUCUUCAUAACACGAUAAAUAAAUUUUCUAUUCAUUAAAAAAAUAA